AGCCCUUUUUACCCAAAAACAAAACCAGAGAGAGCCUCUAAAAAAAAAUCCUCUGGCCCUCUGAGCUCCGACUAGAGGGCCAUCACCGCUCAUCCUCGAGCCCCGUCGUGCGUAGUCUUUACGCGCCAACACGCCGUCAUCAGGACAACCGCAUACAGUGGCUAGGGUUCGAAAAAAAAACCAUCUUUUCUUUGCAAAUCUUCAGAUCGCGUUGUGGAUGCGAAUCUUGCCUGGUGACCACAGGACGGCCUCUGCUGCGAAGAUCUCAGCACCGAUGGAGGCACAAAGGUCAGUGGUGAGGCCUGAGAUCACGGUGCACUGAUGGUGGUGAUGUUUAAGCCACUCGAUCGUUGUGAGGCAAACGGCGGUGACGUUCGGAGUGCCCAAAGCCUCUGGUCAGUGCUUUGAUGGGACCUCAUGCGUGGUGACCAUCGAUCUGACCAGUAUUGAUGAGGGCCAACUGGGGUGACGUGAGGGGACAGGGCUAUUGAUGGCCCUUGCUUUGGGAGCUGGAAUGGCUCUGACGUGGCGAAGCUUCUGGAACUGCUCCUGGGCGCUGAGGUUCCAAGGAAACCUUAGGGUUUCCUACUGGUGUUUUAAGUCAUUGGGCCUUUUGGGCCCGAGUGAGUUGGGUCUGUAGUAGAUUAGUUUGGGUAAUGGGUCUGUUUGUAAGGGUUAUUGGGUUUGGACUUUUUAACGGACUUUUAAAAUAAAUAAAUAUUCAUUUAUUCA